AGAUGAGCACACUCCUGGACAUGUUGUUGGAGCUCACUGUUCAACAGCAAUUCAUUGCAGUGCUGCUAUCGUUCAUCAUACAUGGAGAAUUUAAAUGGACUACGAAGUUAUAUGGGGUGAAAAUAAUUGUCCUGUUCAAUUAAUUCCAAUUAUUGUUUUAUGUCUAGCCAGAAGGAUCUUGGACAACCAUGGGAUCUAAGAGGAUUCACUUUACUGGCUUGAGGACAAGCUGAAUUUCGAAGAGAGGGGAUUGUUAGGACCGGAUGGGCUCCCAAAUGGUCGUUACAACAAUUCACUAAAGCUAGCCCAAGGCAGAUAACAAAAGCAACAACGGUUUUUUUAAGGGGAUCAAACAACAGAUGCAGAAUGGCAACGGGGAAGGCUUGAAAUUAACUUGAUCUUCCUUUCCUCCUACCUCCAACCCUUUCCCUAGUUUCUAGAAACUCACAGAAACUUCUUAUCUCCCAUUUUCUUCUUCUUCCGCCAAAAUACUUGAUUGCUAUAAUGCUAGUUGUUGCUUGGAGAAAAGGGGGCCUGUUAACAUGUUACUCCUUUAAUAAUUUUGUAUAGUCCAUCAGUUCAUAAAUAUGUGACAUUUUGUAUUCAAUAAUUAUAUAUCUUGGUAACUUUUGGUACUUUGUCUAAAUCAUUUUACCUGCAUGUAUUUUAUGCAGUGAGUUAAGUGCCAUUUUGUUAAAUGGAUGGAACAUGGUCCAAAGUGCAAAGGAGGGUAACUAUACAUGCAUGGUCCUAGUUCAUGCUGAAACUUUGCCUAUUAAAGCUGGCUCAAAUUGAAAUUCAAGUAUUUAUGACCGAAAAGAGAACUAAGAUAAUCAAACGGGUAAUAUAGCUGAACGAAGAAGUGGUGCUUACUGCUCGGAUGACGGUAUUCGAUCGAUUGGUCGAUCAAACAACAACUAAUUGCGUCCAAGGACACCAGACUUGCUAGCUUCGCAAACU
rnacentral:lncRNA from 1 species